rnacentral:rRNA from 1 species
CCUACGGGUGGCAGCAGUGGGGAAUAUUGGACAAUGGGGGCAACCCUGAUCCAGCGACGCCGCGUGUGUGAAGAAGGCCUGCGGGUUGUAAAGCACUUUUAGUGGGGAUGAAAAGCUCAGGGAUAACACCUCUGGGUCUUGACCUAACCCACAGAAAAAGCACCGGCUAACUCUGUGCCAGCAGCCGCGGUAAUACAGAGGGUGCAAGCGUUAAUCGGAAUUACUGGGCGUAAAGCGCGCGUAGACGGUUACUCAAGUCGGGUGUGAAAGCCCCGGGCUCAACCUGGGAAUUGCAUUCGAGACUGCGUAGCUAGGGUGCGGAAGAGGGAAGUGGAAUUUCCGGUGUAGCGGUGAAAUGCGUAGAUAUCGGAAGGAACAUCAGUGGCGAAAGCGACUUCCUGGUCCAGCACCGACGUUCAGGCGCGAAAGCGUGGGGAGCA